rnacentral:rRNA from 1 species
UACGAAGGGGGCUAGCGUUGCUCGGAAUCACUGGGCGUAAAGCGCACGUAGGCGGAUUGUUAAGUCAGGGGUGAAAUCCUGGAGCUCAACUCCAGAACUGCCUUUGAUACUGGCGAUCUCGAGUCCGGGAGAGGUGAGUGGAACUGCGAGUGUAGAGGUGAAAUUCGUAGAUAUUCGUCAAGAACACCAGUGGCGAAGGCGGCUCACUGGCCCGGUACUGACGCUGAGGUGCGAAAGCGCGGGGAGCAAACAGG